rnacentral:rRNA from 1 species
UCCCCGGGCUCANCCUGGGAACUGCGUUCUGAACUGGGUGACUAGAGUGUGUCAGAGGGAGGUAGAAUUCCACGUGUAGCAGUGAAAUGCGUAGAGAUGUGGAGGAAUACCGAUGGCGAAGGCAGCNUCCUGGGAUAACACUGACGUUCAUGCCCGAAAGCGUGGGUAGCAAACAGGAUUAGAUACCCUGGUAGUCCACGCCCUAAACGAUGUCGAUUAGCUGUUGGGCAGCAUGACUGCUUAGUAGCGAAGCUAACGCGUGAAAUCGACCGCCUGGGGAGUACGGUCGCAAGAUUAAAACUCAAAGGAAUUGACGGGGACCCGCACAAGCGGUGGAUGAUGUGGAUUAAUUCGAUGCAACGCGAAGAACCUUACCUGGUCUUGACAUGUACGGAACCCUCCAGAGACGGAGGGGUGCCUUCGGGAGCCGUAACACAGGUGCUGCAUGGCUGUCGUCAGCUCGUGUCGUGAGAUGUUGGGUUAAGUCCCGCAACGAGCGCAACCCUUGUCAUUAGUUGCCAUCAUUAAGUUGGGCACUCUAAUGAGACUGCCGGUGACAAGCCGGAGGAAGGUGGGGAUGACGUCAAGUCCUCAUGGCCCUUAUGACCAGGGCUUCACACGUCAUACAAUGGUCGGUACAGAGGGUAGCCAAGCCGCGAGGUGGAGCCAAUCUCACAAAACCGAUCGUAGUCCGGAUUGCACUCUGCAACUCGAGUGCAUGAAGUCGGAAUCGCUAGUAAUCGCAGGUCAGCAUACUGCGGUGAUUACGUUCCCGGGUCUUGUACACACCGCCCGUCA